CGAACAGGAUUAGAUACCCUGGUAGUCCAUGCCGUAAACGUUGGGCACUAGGUGUGGGGGACAUUCCACGUUUUCCGCGCCGUAGCUAACGCAUUAAGUGCCCCGCCUGGGGAGUACGGCCGCAAGGCUAAAACUCAAAGGAAUUGACGGGGGCCCGCACAAGCGGCGGAGCAUGCGGAUUAAUUCGAUGCAACGCGAAGAACCUUACCAAGGCUUGACAUGAACCAGACCGGGCUGGAAACAGUUCUUCCCCUUUGGGGUUGGUUUACAGGUGGUGCAUGGUUGUCGUCAGCUCGUGUCGUGAGAUGUUGGGUUAAGUCCCGCAACGAGCGCAACCCUCGUUCCAUGUUGCCAGCGGGUAGUGCCGGGGACUCAUGGGAGACUGCCGGGGUCAACUCGGAGGAAGGUGGGGACGACGUCAAAUCAUCAUGCCCCUUAUGUCUUGGGCUUCACGCAUGCUACAAUGGCCGGUACAAAGGGUUGCGAUACUGUGAGGUGGAGCUAAUCCCAAAAAGCCGGUCUCAGUUCGGAUUGGGGUCUGCAACUCGACCCCAUGAAGUCGGAGUCGCUAGUAAUCGCAGAUCAGCAACGCUGCGGUGAAUACGUUCCCGGGCCUUGUACACACCGCCCGUCAAGUCACGAAAGUUGGUAACACCCGAAGCCGGUGGCCUAACCCCUU
rnacentral:rRNA from 1 species